UACGUAGGGGGCUAGCGUUGUCCGGAUUUAUUGGGCGUAAAGAGCGUGUAGGCGGCCAGGUAGGUCUGCUGUGAAAACUCGAGGCUCAACCUCGAGAUGUCGGCGGAAACCAUCUGGCUAGAGUCCGGGAGAGGAGAGUGGAAUUCCUGGUGUAGCGGUGAAAUGCGCAGAUAUCAGGAAGAACACCCGUGGCGAAAGCGGCUCUCUGGAACGGUACUGACGCUGAGACGCGAAAGCGUGGGGAGCGAACAGG
rnacentral:rRNA from 1 species